AAAAAUGGCUGCCAGCGCGGGCGAGACGGAGAGACAACUGGAACCGGGGUGAGAGAGGACGCCCCGUGCUGGCUGGGUCCGGUUUCGGUCGGUGAGCCUGAAGCUCUCCGCUCGCGGAAUGAAGAUAGGGAAUGGAGUUCUCCUGGUGACUUAUGGCGGGCUGGGGGAAUGUGACUCAGGGAUUUCGAGCUGCUGAGCAGCGCGAAGGAGCGAACCCCCCGGCGGCGAUCAUGACUGAAGGCCACGCUUGGUGCUGGCCUUGGACAACCCAGAGAUGUGCUCGCGCCCGAAGUCUCAUUCAUUGAAAUGUAGUGUCUUCGCAUUAUGAAGAGGACUUCGUUUUAAUAAUACAAGCAAAAUUUUGGCCUAGUUUUAACAGCAGAGGUAUUAUCUUCAUCAAUGUGUCCUGAAAGUUUACUCCUUAUUUUGAAAAUGGUAUUCAUGCAGAAGAGCAUGACGUACAGAGAAAACAAGCUUCAAUGUUGGUAUACCUUCUCGAGAACUAAGGGGUGGAGGGUGACUGAUGAUGUGGUAUUAUCACUGAACUAGAGAUCCAGAGGUCCGGACUAUUGGGAAUGAUUGAACAAAUGGUAGAAGUAAAUUUGAUUAAUUAAAAUUUAGAAUUAAUAGUAGAUCUCAGAUUUAUGACUGACAACUAUCAUCAAUAUUUUUUUAAAGAAUCCAAUUCAACAGUGCCUUUCAGAGAAGAAAAUCUGCCAUCUUUAACUGGACUGGAUUGGCCUACAUGCAAAUCCAGAAUCAGUAGUGACAUUGAUUGCCCUCUGAAAUUGUGUAGCCAGUCACUUGGUUCAAGGCAUAUUAUCUGUGAAUUUUUUUUUCCUUUUAAAAACUUUCUGGAAAUUUAACACUUUUUUUUAUUUUGAUGUGAAUAGCUAAGACAUUGGAUUUUGAAAAAAUAAUGGGUUUUUAAGGCUAUAAUUUGUGGUACUACCUGAAAUAAUGCACUUUUCUGUUGGCUCUGUUUUAUCUAUUGUACUUAUUCAGAAUAAAGAAUUUACUGUAAAUAUUU